rnacentral:lncRNA from 1 species
GCUUGGCUACCUAAGAACUAGUUUUAGAACUUAGAAAUGAGAAUCAUUAUUUAAUCAUGGUUCAUGUUGUGUGGCGAAUGCCGCCGAAUGUCGUUUUUUUUUUCUUUUCCAGUUAUAUAAAUAUGUUUAUUCAAUGGAUUUGAUUAUGUUGUGUUAUGCUUGUUUCGCUUAAUUCCUCGGUUCUGUAGGUAUAUUCAAGUCCUUCAAAUCUUCAAUGAUAUUUUGGUUUAUAAUUACAUAUAUAUGUUAUUUAUCACAGGAUUCUGAUUUGAUGUCUUGUAAUUUAUAACUUUGAUGGCACAGAAAUUUGAAAUAGUCAUUGAGGAUCAAGCUGGAAAACAGUUCAAAUGUAGGAUCAAUUGAGGAAGCCGAAAUGACAAAUCAAUGGAUUGAUUUAUUUAGGGAUUUGAUAUAUGAAUACUUGAUUUGCUCGGCAUUGUAAAGACAUCCACAACUUUCUCUUUUUGUUAUGAGCAUUUUAAGAUUCCCUUCAUUAAGUGGCUACAAACCUUUUUGUGAAUCCCCAAAACAAAAGUAAAAAAUGAAAUUCAUCCGUAAAUAUAAAUUACUUUAUUACUUUUUU